rnacentral:lncRNA from 1 species
GAUGUUUGAUAAAAUGUUUAUUUUAUUGAUAUUAAAAAUGAAUGUACAUGAAUUGUGCAUUUCAGACGUUCUAGCGUGCAGAGGUUAAAUCGAUAAAAUAUGCACAGGCUGAGUGGGUUACUGACACAAAAAAUGUAGCCGAUGCUCGGCAAGAGAUCCCUUCAUAUCCAGCGCAAAGAAGUGGUUGUCUUCCACGCCAUUCAAAAGAACACUAUAGAAGCCUGUUUGAACAAUACAAUAGUGAAUGCAGUCCUACCAGGAAGAACAAAUUUCAAAUAAAAUCAAAAAAAUAAACCAUAUCGUUGUCACUGUCUGGAAACAAGAUAGAUAACCGUCUGGGAAAUAUAAUAAUAAUAAUAAUAAUUGCACUGCUUUGUUACACAAGUGGAAUAUAGAGUCAAAGACAGGACAUAUAGGCAUGGGGGUCAUAAAGGUCGUAGCUCAUAGGCUAGGUUAGGGUGGAAGGGAAGCGAGAGGAUAUUCAGUAUUGGCUCGAUUCACCUCUACCCCUACUGGGACGAGUAUCCGUUAAAUAUCCAUCAAUUUUAUGGGCCAAAAUGAAAUAAAAGUUGUGGCACAGACUUCCAUGGAGCCUAUAGUGCAUGGGGAGCAGUGGUUUGUCACCUGGAGAGCAGUGUCACUGUUGCCAGAUAUGGCUUAGAGCUCUGUCGCCCUAAUCCCACUAUACUACUUCAUCCCUUCAACUCAACAACAACUCCACUUCUCCCUCUUUAGAAACCAUAGAUUUUCCUGAGUAGUUCAACUGCUUCAAAACUGGUCCAGUAUGGUAGCACUUCAUCGAAUACAUGUUGAUGAUAGAUCAGGGAUGGGGUGGUAUGGGAGGAAUGCUGCACUCCUGUUCCCAUGGCAAAAGGCAUAUAGAACAUCUGGGGCAUGUUGUUGAAUAAGAAAGGGAUUGAGAGAGGAUGAGUGAGAGUUGAGAUUGAUGCACAGAGUCUGCUGUAGGUGACCUUUGUUUGACUUAUGGUCAAAUGUCACAGUGACAUGAUCAAACCCAGAGCAGGGUGCCCACCACACUGACUGACUGACCACCAGCACAUGCAAGUUACCCAGACUGCACUGGGAGGAAGGGUAGGGUGCUCUCCAAUCCCCAAGAGCCAAUCAGAACGGAAGUCUCCAAUACAACUAUGACAAUAGACCCUAUUGUCAUAGUCCCUGGCCAGCAAUACUAAAGUGGUUUAAGACGUAGUGGGUUGUGUACAAUCAACGCAUAAUGUUGUUGAACUGGUAUUUGCAAUCAGAGUAUGUGCCUAUUUCUGUGACAUAACAUACCUAAGCAAUCCAGGCUAUUCUACUAUUAAAAUAUUAAUUUAAAGUAACUCUGUGGCAAACGAAAAUGAAAAAAAAAAAAAACUUUUUGGUACAAAGCAUCUACAAAAAGAAUUACAAGUCAAAUGGGAAAAAGAGAUCAUACAAAAUAAAUCUGUCAGUUGAGCAUCAGUGCUAUGUAUAUUAUUUGGACCAAUUUUUCAUAUAUAUUUUUAUAACAAAAUAAAUAAUGCCUUUAUACAGUGCCCUUAUUUGUAUUUCAACAAACAAACAAAAAAGCUUGGCGGCUCAUUACGCAAGAUACAGCUCAGACUAAAAGAAAAUAACACAACGUCCCUGAAAACUAAUUUUAUGUAUGUAUGUGUCUAUGUAUAUAUACACAUGUAUAUGUAUGUAUGUAUGUAUGUAUGUAUGUAUGUAUGUAUGUAUGUAUGUAUGUAUGUAUGUAUAUAUACACACACACAUAUAUACAUAUAUACACACACACACACAUAUAUACAUAUAUAUAUAUAUAUAUAUACAUAUAUACAUAUAUACAUAUAU